rnacentral:misc_RNA from 1 species
UUAAGUUCAGCGGGUAGUCUUGCCUGAUUUGAGGCCAAUAGAAAGAUAUUGGGCAGCCUACGUAGACUAGCGCAGAGAAUGCUUAGCACUCGGGCUAGCCCACACAGGCCACUAUCUGGCUACGUUUAGACCGAGUCCAGGGACAACAGUCAAAUCGCAUUGCUGCAUUGAUGUAUGCGGCACUCAAACAGACAUGCCUC